rnacentral:tRNA from 1 species
GGCGCUAUAGUGUAGUGGUUAUCACUUGGGAUUCUGAAGAGCGUUCCCAAAACCCAGGUUCGAGCCCUGGUAGCGCCU